rnacentral:rRNA from 1 species
AGCGAACGCUAGCGGAUGGCUUAACACAUGCAAGUCGAGCGGGCAGCUUCGGCUGUCUAGCGGCGAACGGGUGCGUAACACGUGGGUAAUCUGCCUUCUGGUGGGGGAUAACCCGACGAAAGUCGGGCUAAUACCGCAUAUGGCCUACGGGUCAAAGCAGCAAUGCGCCAGUUGAUGAGCCCGCGGCCCAUUAUUUAAUCCUAGUUGGCGGGGUAACGGCCCACCAAGGGUACGAUGGGUAGCUGGUCUGAGAGGACGAUCAGCCACACUGGGACUGAGACACGGCCCAGACUCCUACGGGAGGCAGCAGUGGGGAAUAUUGCGCAAUGGGCGAAAGCCUGACGCAGCCAAUCCGCGUGGGUGAUGAAGGCCUUCGGUUGUAAGACCCUGUCGUGAGGGACGAAGUUACUGACGGUACCGUCACAAGAAAGACACCGGCUAACCCCGUACGCCACGCAG